rnacentral:rRNA from 1 species
GAUGAACGCUAGCUACAGGCUUAACACAUGCAAGUCGCGGGGCAGCAUGGGGGUUGCUUGCAAUCCCCGAUGGCGACCGGCGCACGGGUGAGUAACGCGUAUCCAACCUGCCCUUCACCACGGGAUAACCCGGCGAAAGUCGGACUAAUACCGUAUGUUGUCCAUUGACGGCAUCCGAUUUGGACGAAAGGCUUGGCGGUGAGGGAUGGGGAUGCGUCCGAUUAGCCAGCCGGCGGGGUAACGGCCCACCGUGGCUACGAUCGGUAGGGGUUCUGAGAGGAAGGUCCCCCACACUGGAACUGAGACACGGUCCAGACUCCUACGGGAGGCAGCAGUGAGGAAUAUUGGUCAAUGGGCGUAAGCCUGAACCAGCCAAGUAGCGUGCAGGAUGACGGCCCUAUGGGUGGUAAACUGCUUUUAUGCGGGGAUAAAGUGGCCCACGUGUGGGCUUUUGCAGGUACCGCAUGAAUAAGGACCGGCUAAUUCCGUG